rnacentral:rRNA from 1 species
UAGUGGCGGACGGGUGAGUAACGCGUGGAUAACCUGCCCCGUACUGGGGGAUAGCAGCUGGAAACGGCUGGUAAUACCGCAUAAGCGCACGAGGGGGCCUCCCCUUGUGUGAAAAGAUUCAUCGGUACGGGAUGGGUCCGCGUCUGAUUAGCCAGUUGGCGGGGUAACGGCCCACCAAAGCGACGAUCAGUAGCCGGCCUGAGAGGGUGAACGGCCACAUUGGGACUGAGACACGGCCCAGACUCCUACGGGAGGCAGCAGUGGGGAAUAUUGGGCAAUGGGGGAAACCCUGACCCAGCAACGCCGCGUGAAGGAAGAAGGCCUUCGGGUUGUAAACUUCUUUUACCAGGGACGAAGAACGUGACGGUACCUGGAGAAAAAGCGACGGCUAACUACGUGCCAGCAGCCGCGGUAAUACGUAGGUCGCAAGCGUUGUCCGGAUUUACUGGGUGUAAAGGGCGUGUAGGCGGAGAUGCAAGUCAGAUGUGAAAUUUCGGGGCUCAACCCCGAACCUGCAUUUGAAACUGUAUCCCUUGAGUAUCGGAGAGGCAAGCGGAAUUCCUAGUGUAGCGGUGAAAUGCGUAGAUAUUAGGAGGAACACCAGUGGCGAAGGCGGCUUGCUGGACGACAACUGACGCUGAGGCGCGAAAGCGUGGGGAGCAAACAGGAUUAGAUACCCUGGUAGUCCACGCCGUAAACGAUGAGCACUAGUUGUUGGGUCCGAACGGAUUCAGUGACGCAGUUAACGCAAUAAGUGCUCCGCCUGGGGAGUACGGUGGCAACACUAAAACUCAAAGGAAUUGACGGGGACCCGCACAAGCAGCGGAGCAUGUGGUUUAAUUCGAAGCAACGCGAAAAACCUUACCAGGGCUUGACAUCCUCCUGACCGGUCCUUAACCGGACCUUUCUUCGGACAGGAGUGACAGGUGGUGCAUGGUUGUCGUCAGCUCGUGUCGUGAGAUGUUGGGUUAAGUCCCGCAACGAGCGCAACCCUUGUCCUCAGUAGCCAGCGGUACGGCCGGGCACUCUGGGGAGACCGCCAGGGACAACCUGGAGGAAGAUGGGGAUGACGUCAAAUCAUCAUGCCCCUUAUGAUUUGGGCUACACACGUGCUACAAUGGCGCCUGACAAAGUGACGCGAACCCGCGAGGGUGGGCAAAUCACAAAAACGGCGUCCCAGUUCGGACUGAAGGCUGCAACCCGCCUUCACGAAGCUGGAAUCGCUAGUAAUCGCGGAUCAGAAUGCCGCGGUGAAUACGUUCCCGGGUCUU